AUUGAACGCUGGCGGCAGGCUUAACACAUGCAAGUCGAGCGAGCGGCGGAAGGGUGAGUAAUGUCUGGGAAACUGCCUGAUGGAGGGGGAUAACACCUGGAAACGGUAGCUAAUACCGCAUACCAUCAGAUGUGCCCAGAUGGGAUUAGCUAGUAGGUGGGGUAAUGGCUAACCUAGGCGAAGUUCCCUAGCUGGUCUUAGAGGAUGACCAGCCACACUGGAACUUGGACACGGUCCAGACUCUGACGGGAGGCAGCAGUGGGGAAUAUUGCACAAUGGGCGCAAGCCUGAUGCAGCCAUGCCGCGUGUGUGAAGAAGGCCUUCGGGUUGUAAAGCACUUUCAGCGAGGAGGCGUUACUCGCAGAAGAAGCACCGGCUAACUCCGUGCCAGCAGCCGCGGUAAUAC
rnacentral:rRNA from 1 species